UCAAGCUAAUAAGGGCGCAAGGGGGAUGCCUUGGCAUUGGUAGCCGAUGAAGGACGUAGCGAUCUACGAUAAGCCACGGGAAGUCGAAAGCAGGCAAUGAUCCGUGGAUUUCCGAAUGGGGAAACCCGGCAGAGCAAUACUCUGUCAACUCCUUGUGAAUAAAAUAGCAUUGAGUAGGGAACCUCCUGAACUGAAACAUCUAAGUAGGGAGAGGAAAAGAAAUCAACCGAGAUUCCGCUAGUAGUGGCGAGCGAACGCGGAAGAGGCCAAACCAAGAGUAGUAAUACUUUUGGGGUUCGGACUGAGUACGGUAUUGACAAAGGUUAGUGGAAUGAAAUGGGAAGUUCAACCAUAGAGCGUGAGAGUCGCGUAUACGAAAACUUGAGUCAGCCAUCAGUAUCCAGAGUACCGCCGGACACGUGAAACCCGGUGGGAAUACGGGGGGACCACCCUCCAAGCCUAAAUACUCACCAAUGACCGAUAGUGUAUAGUACUGUGAAGGAAAGGUGAAAAGAACCCCUGGCGGGGAGUGAAAAAGAACCUGAAACCUUGUGCCUACAAGCACAUAGAGCACAUCAACGUGUGAUAUGGUACCUUUUGUAGAAUGGUCCGGCGAGUGAAUGUCACUAGCGAGGUUAAGGACUUAAGGUCUGCAGCCGAAGCGAAAGCGAGUCUUAAUAGGGCGACAAUAGUUAGUGGUAUUCGACCCGAAACCGAGUGACCUAGCCAUGAGCAGGCUGAAGUGGAGGUAAAACUCCAUGGAGGGCCGAACCCACUCCCGUUGAAAUGGUAGGGGAUGACUUGUGGCUAGCGGAGAAAUUCCAAUCGAACUCGGAGAUAGCUGGUUCUCUCCGAAAUAGCUUUAGGGCUAGCCUCAAAUAACAUUACCGCAGGUAAAGCACUGAAUGGGCUAGGGGGCGAAAGCUUACUGAACCCUAUCAAACUAAGAAUGGCGGAUAAUGAAUAUUUGGGAGUCACACUACGUGAGAUAAGUUUCGUGGUGGAAAGGGAAACAGCCCAGACCCACAGCUAAGGUCCCAAAGUACAGUUAAGUGGAAAAGGAUGUGAAGUUGCGCAGACAACCAGGAUGUUGGCUCAGAAGCAGCCACUCAUUCAAAGAGUGCGUAAUAGCUCACUGGUCGAGUGAUUUUGCGCCGAAAAUUUAACGGGGCUAAACUGUACACCGAAGCUUGGGAUACAUCUAAUGUAUGGUAGGAGAGCGUUGUAUACGGGGUGAAGUCAGAGCGGAAGCGCUGGUGGACUGUAUACAAGUGAGAAUGCCGGAAUGAGUAGCGAGAAUUAUGUGAGAAUCAUAAUGGCCGAAAGACUAAGGUUUUAGAAGGAAGGUUCGUCCGCUUCUAGUUAGCCGGGAGCUAAGGCGAGGCCGAAAGGCGUAGUCGAUGCACAUACGGUUGAGAUUCCGUAGCCACCUUAAAUUUAAACUAAGGGACACAUUGAAAGGGAAUAACCCAGGCGUUGGUUGACCUGGGCGUAAGGGAACGAAAAUAAGUAGUGAAGUAUUCUUGGACAGUGGCGAGAAAAGCUUAGUGUAUAUUAUUAGGGUGCCCGUACUGCAAACCGACACAGGUAGUCAGGAAGAGAAUUCUAAGGCCAUCGGGAGAAGCGUUGUUAAGGAACUCGGCAAAUUGACCCCGUAACUUCGGAAUAAGGGGUGCUCACGAGAGUGAGCCGCAGUGAAUAGGUCCAGGCGACUGUUUAUCAAAAACACAGCUCUCUGCUAAAUCGAAAGAUGACGUAUAGGGGGUGACACCUGCCCGGUGCUGGAAGGUUAAGAGGAAGGGUGCAAGCUCUGAAUUGAAGCCCCAGUAAACGGCGGCCGUAACUAUAACGGUCCUAAGGUAGCGAAAUUCCUUGUCGGGUAAGUUCC
rnacentral:rRNA from 1 species